GAAGUAAAAGUCGUAACAAGGUCUCCGUUGGUGAACCAGCGGAGGGA
rnacentral:rRNA from 1 species